UUAAAUUUCGUAAAACCUUUCUAUACAAAAUUAGAGAGAGAGAGGGGUUUGCUUCAUUAUUCAACGGGGGUCAUUAAACCUUAAAAGCCUCCCCCCUUCUAAAUUCCAAAAUAUUUCGAUCGUUUGAUGAAUAACGCGAAACUAGUAUUUUUAAACCAUUUGAAUCGAGAUUACAGAGAAGUUUGCUAUACGAGAAUCAUUAAAGAUUUAAAAUUAUUGUACUCUAGUCUUGGUUAAAAAACGUGCUGCUUUUGGAAAACUACGAGUGAUUAUAGCCACGUCCUUUACUUCAAGGUUGUCUCAUUACUUACAAAGAGGAAAUAAGAUUAACGAGUAUUAAGAUUGGUGAGUUAGCUGGUCACCAAAGGCGGCUAAUUAAUUAUAUUUUUUUACACUUUAAUCACCAAGCAUGGAUUAUAUCAUACUGUGUUAUUUGAGUUUUUUGUACGAAAAAACUCGUAGUAUAUCGGUGCCAAUAUAUUAUAUAAUAUUUAUUUUAUAUUACCUUUUCACUUUAAGAUUCUGAUUCGGACUCUGAUACUGAGCCAAGAAGGAAAAAUUUUAAACAAAUUAAUCAAGCUGCUCAGACUAAAAUAUACCAGGAUUUAAUAUCGAUGAUAAGAUUUUUCAUAAGACAUAAAAACAUGAAGGAUUUAAUUAUAACAAGCAAACACAUAGAGGCACUGGAGAUUUUUACGAAAAAGAUGUUCAAAGAAUAUAAAAAGAAAUGAUAACAACAAGCAGAAAUAUAGAGGUACUGGAGACUUAC